rnacentral:rRNA from 1 species
GACGAACGCUGGCGGCGUGCUUAACACAUGCCAGUCGAACGCGCCUGUCCUCUGGGUUUCUGGGGGGUGGGUGAGUGGCGAACGGGUGAGUAACACGUGAGUAACCUGCCCCCUUCUUCGGGAUAACGGUCUGAAAGGGCUGCUAAUACCGGGUAUUCACUGGUCUCCGCAUGGGGUCUGGUGGAAAGGUUUUUUUCUGGUGGGGGAUGGGCUCGCGGCCUAUCAGCUUGUUGGUGGGGUGAUGGCCCACCAAGGCUUUGACGGGUAGCCGGCCUGAGAGGGUGACCGGUCACAUUGGGACUGAGAUACGGCCCAGACGCCUACGGGAGGCAGCAGUGGGGAAUAUUGCACAAUGGGCGCAAGCCUGAUGCAGCGACGCCGCGUGAGGGAUGGAGGCCUUCGGGUUGUGAACCUCUUUCGCCCGUGGUCAAGCCGCGACGUGGGUCGUGGUGAGGGUAGUGGGUAAAGAAGCGCCGGCUAACUACGUG